UACGAAGGGAGCUAGCGUUGUUCGGAAUCACUGGGCGUAAAGCGCACGUAGGCGGAUGUGCCAGUCAGGGGUGAAAUCCCGGAGCUCAACUUCGGAACUGCCUUUGAUACAGCACGUCUUGAGUCCGAUAGAGGUGGGUGGAAUUCCUAGUGUAGAGGUGAAAUUCGUAGAUAUUAGGAAGAAUACCGGUGGCGAAGGCGGCCCGCUGGAUCGGUAUUGACGCUGAGGCGCGAAAGCCAGGGGAGCAAACGGG
rnacentral:rRNA from 1 species